UACUGAAGAGAAAAUUUAUUUUCAAGGCAGGAUGUAAAUUAAACAGUGGCAACGUUUCAUUUGAUGCAAAAUGUAAACCAGCUGGAGAUUAUCACCAUCCUUUCCUUUUUGCACAUUAAAUGAGUCCAGAGACCUGCUAAUUACACUGUUGGAAGAUGUUCUUUUAAAAAGGUAAAAGAAAGGAAGAUCUGAAGGCAACACAGCCAGAAAUUGUCAGAAGAAGAAAAAAAAACCUAAAGAAGACACUUCUUAACCAACUUGCUUGCAGUUGUUAACAACCAAUAAUGAGAUACAGACUAUGAAGAAAAUGAAGCGUAACACAGCUGGCUGCUCACAAAAUGGAGUCUUGAGCCAAAGCAGAUAUUUUUCUUUCAUUGAAGUUGUUGUUUAUAGUGAAAGGUGUCCUCAGAAUUCCAUCAAGCCUUCACUUCCAUUAGAAUGGGGUUUUGUGGGGUAUGUAUCUGAAUGUAUAUUUAUGUUACGCAUUAAAUAAAUUGUCAAAUGCAGGAAA